CCUACGGGGGGCAGCAGUAGGGAAUCUUCCACAAUGGGCGCAAGCCUGAUGGAGCAACACCGCGUGAGUGAAGAAGGGUUUCGGCUCGUAAAGCUCUUUUGUUGGAGAAGAACGUUCGUGAGCGUAACUGUUCACGCAGUUACGGUAUCAAACCAGAUAGUCACGGCCAACUACGUCACAGCAGCCGCGGUAAUACGUAGGUGGCAAGUGUUAUCCGGAUGUAUUGGGCGUAAAGCGAGCGGAGGCGGUUGCUUAGGUCUGAUGUGAAAGCCUUCGGCUUAACCGAAGAAGUGCAUCGGAAACCGGGAGACUUGAGUGCAGAAGAGGAGAGUGGAACUCGAGGUGUAGCGGUGGAAUGCGUAGAUAUAUGGAAGAACACCAGUGGCGAAGGCAGCUGUCUGGUCUGCAACUGACGCUGAGGCUCGAAAGCAUGGGUAGCGAACAGGAUUAGAUACCCUUGUAGUC
rnacentral:rRNA from 1 species